UUUUUCUAGACAAGCCAAAAGAGGAAAGAGGGACAAGACCUCUAAAAGGUUGUCUUGCCAAAAAGGUGAAAGUUGGUCAAGGUUUGAAUUUUGAAAAAAAGGACUUAAAGUCUUGUUUUUUAACCUACCAAAACCGAAAUUCCCCCCAUCUUUGUGAAAUUUGAACAACCAAAAUUGUGGAACAAAAUUUUUCAACUUUAACAAUGUUUU
rnacentral:lncRNA from 1 species